GUCCACAGCUAUACCCCCCUGAACGCGCCAGAUCUCAUCUGAUCUCAGAAGCUAAGCAGGGUUGGCUCUAGUUAGUUCUUGGAUGGGAGACAAAAAUUGACUUGGAAGAAGAAUCAAGUAUUUGUUGAAU
rnacentral:rRNA from 1 species